UACGGAGGAUGCGAGCGUUAUCCGGAAUGAUUGGGCGUAAAGGGUGCGCAGGCGGCCGGGCAAGUCCGCAGUAAAAACUGGAGGCUCAACCUUCAGGGGCUGCGGAAACUGUCCGGCUGGAGAGCAGGAGAGGACGGUGGAACUCCAUGUGUAGCGGUAAAAUGCGUAGAGAUAUGGAAGAACACCAGUGGCGAAGGCGGCCGCCUGGACUGAAACUGACGCUCAGGCACGAAAGCGUGGGGAGCAAAUAGG
rnacentral:rRNA from 1 species